UACGAAGGGUGCAAGCGUUACUCGGAAUUACUGGGCGUAAAGCGUGCGUAGGUGGUUUGUUAAGUCUGCUGUGAAAGCCCCGGGCUCAACCUGGGAAUGGCAGUGGAUACUGGCAAGCUAGAGUGCGGUAGAGGGGUGUGGAAUUCCCGGUGUAGCGGUGAAAUGCGUAGAGAUCGGGAGGAACACCAGUGGCGAAGGCGGCUACCUGGACCAGCACUGACACUGAGUCACGAAAGCGUGGGGAGCAAACAGG
rnacentral:rRNA from 1 species